UACAGAGGUCUCAAGCGUUGUUCGGAUUCAUUGGGCGUAAAGGGUGCGUAGGCGGGUCUUUAAGUCAGGGGUGAAAUCCUGGAGCUCAACUCCAGAACUGCCUUUGAUACUGAGGAUCUUGAGUACGGGAGAGGUGAGUGGAACUGCGAGUGUAGAGGUGAAAUUCGUAGAUAUUCGCAAGAACACCAGUGGCGAAGGCGGCUCACUGGCCCGUAACUGACGCUGAGGCACGAAAGCGUGGGGAGCAAACAGG
rnacentral:rRNA from 1 species